rnacentral:lncRNA from 1 species
UAGAAUAUAUUGCCAUUCUUGCCAACCCCAAUAACUUCAGAAAUGCUAGGUAGGAUUCCAGUUCUAAAAAGUCUCGUCAAUGACUCUGCUACACCCAAUUCACCCAAAAUUGAUAUCAGAUAACCACCAUAAUUGUCCAUCUCCAUCAGAGCAAUGGACUCUUUCAACACCACUAAAUGUUCUACAAAAGAGCCAUCAUCAGCAUGAAUCAAGGGUGUCCUAAUAAAGGUCUCAUCAC